rnacentral:rRNA from 1 species
AUUGAACGCUGGCGGCAUGCUUUACACAUGCAAGUCGAACGGCAGCACGGGAGCUUGCUCCUGGUGGCGAGUGGCGAACGGGUGAGUAAUGCAUCGGAACGUACCCAGUAGUGGGGGAUAGCCUGGCGAAAGCCGGAUUAAUACCGCAUAUUUCCUGAGGGAGAAAGCGGGGGACCUUCGGGCCUCGCGCUACUGGAGCGGCUGAUGUCGGAUUAGCUAGUUGGUGAGGUAAAGGCUCACCAAGGCGACGAUCCGUAGCUGGUCUGAGAGGAUGAUCAGCCACACUGGGACUGAGACACGGCCCAGACUCCUACGGGAGGCAGCAGUGGGGAAUUUUGGACAAUGGGGGCGAACCCUGAUCCAGCCAUGCCGCGUGAGUGAAGAAGGCCUCGGUUGUAAGUACGUCUUCUAGUGGAAGAAAGUANACUACCCGAACUAACCGGUAGGUGGAGUGACGGUA